UACGUAGGCAGCGAGCGUUGUUCGGAAUUACUGGGCGUAAAGAGUGUGUAGGCGGUGCUCUAAGUUCGGUGUGAAAUCUCCCGGCUCAACUGGGAGGGUGCGCCGAAAACUGGGGUGCUGGAGCGCGGGGAGAGGAAAGCGGAAUUCCUGGUGUAGCGGUGAAAUGCGUAGAUAUCAGGAGGAACACCGGCGGUGUAGACGGCUUUCUGGACCGUAGCUGACGCUGAGACGAAGCGUGGGGUAGCAAACAGG
rnacentral:rRNA from 1 species